rnacentral:rRNA from 1 species
GACAUAGGUGGCGAACGUUAUCCGGAAUUAUUGGGCGUAAAGGGCUCGUAGGCGGUUUGUCGCGUCGGGAGUGAAAACCAUGUGCUUAACUCAUGGCUUGCUUUCGAUACGGGCAGACUAGAGGUAUUCAGGGGAGAACGGAAUUCCUGGUGUAGCGGUGAAAUGCGCAGAUAUCAGGAGGAACACCGGUGGCGAAGGCGGUUCUCUGGGAAUGUCCUGACGCUGAGGAGCGAAAGUGUGGGGAGCGAACAGG